CAGUCGCCGCGGUAAUACGGAGGGUGCGAGCGUUACCCGGAAUCACUGGGCGUAAAGGGCGCGUAGGCGGCAUGUUAAGUCUGGUUUUAAAGACAGGGGCUCAACCCCUGGAGUGGACUGGAUACUGGCACGCUUGACCUCUGGAGAGGUAACUGGAAUUUCUGGUGUAGCGGUGGAAUGCGUAGAUACCAGAAGGAACACCAAUGGCGAAGGCAAGUUACUGGACAGAAGGUGACGCUGAGGCGCGAAAGUGUGGGGAGCGAACCGGAUUAGAUACCCCCGUAGUCCCUGUCUCUUAUAC
rnacentral:rRNA from 1 species